UACGGAGGGAGCUAGCGUUGUUCGGAAUUACUGGGCGUAAAGCGCACGUAGGCGGCUUUGUAAGUUAGAGGUGAAAGCCCGGAGCUCAACUCCGGAACUGCCUUUAAGACUGCAUCGCUAGAAUUGUGGAGAGGUGAGUGGAAUUCCGAGUGUAGAGGUGAAAUUCGUAGAUAUUCGGAAGAACACCAGUGGCGAAGGCGACUCACUGGACACAUAUUGACGCUGAGGUGCGAAAGCGUGGGGAGCAAACGGG
rnacentral:rRNA from 1 species